rnacentral:tRNA from 1 species
GGCUUAGCUCAGUUGGUAGAGCAGUUGAUUUGUAAUCAUCUGGUCGUAGGUUCAAGUCCUAUAGCC